UCGCGCAAACUUCGCAAUAAGCGAAAGCUUGACGGGGCUAUCCCGAGUGCCAUCCGCUGAGGAUGGCUUUUCUCCAGUGUAGAUAGCUGGGGGAAUAAGGAGAGGGCAAGUCUGGUGUCAGCCGCCGCGGUAAUACCAGCUCUCCGAGUGGUGAGGACGAUUAUUGGGCCUGAAGCAUCCGUAGCCGGCUGGGCAAGUCCCCUGUUAAAUCCAACGAACUAAUCGCUGGCCUGCAGGGGAUACUGCUCGGCUAGGGGGCGGGAGAGGCCGUCGGUAUUCUUGGGGUAGGGGUGAAAUCCUAUAAUCCCAGGAGGACCACCAGUGGCGAAGGCUGUCGGCUAGAACGCGCUCGACGGUGAGGGAUGAAAGCUGGGGGAGCGAACCGG
rnacentral:rRNA from 1 species